UACAGAAGGUGCGAGCGUUAAUCGGAAUUACUGGGCGUAAAGGGUGCGUAGGUGGUUUUGUAAGUUAGGUGUGAAAGUCCCGGGCUUAACCUGGGGAUUGCGCCUAAUACUGCAAAGCUAGAGUACUGUAGAGGAAAGUGGAAUUUCCAGUGUAGCGGUGAAAUGCGUAGAUAUUGGAAGGAACAUCAGUGGCGAAAGCGACUUUCUGGACAGAUACUGACACUGAGGCACGAAAGCAUGGGGAGCAAACAGG
rnacentral:rRNA from 1 species